rnacentral:rRNA from 1 species
UACAGAGGUCCCGAGCGUUGUUCGGAGUCACUGGGCGUAAAGGGUGCGUAGGUGGCUGGGAAAGGUUGAUGUGAAAGCUCAGGGCUUAACCCUGAAAUGGCAUUGAAUACUGCCUGGCUGGAGGUUUGGAGGGGGGACUGGAAUUCUUGGUGUAGCAGUGAAAUGCGUAGAUAUCAAGAGGAACACCAGUGGCGAAGGCGAGUCCCUGGACAACACCUGACACUGAGGCACGAAAGCCGGGGGAGCAAACAGG